CUCCACUCUUUGAAUCUCCUCGAUCUUUUGGAUUACAGGAGCAAACAAUUAUGGCAUGAAUGACUACAGUAGAGCCAUCGACUCCUUCAAUCCUGGUACUUCAUGCUUCAGAAGAGAUCAACAAUGGAUCGAUGAAGGCUGCAGCUAUUGAUGGGGUAUGUACUGAAGUAUAUGGUUUGUGUACACAUUAUUCGACCGACUUUUAACUGGUAUGGUUGGAUCAUAAAUAUAUAUGGGUAGCAGGGGUGGCCUCCCCUUUGUUUCUGUGAAAUAAUAUUUUUCCUCACAUUGUCUACCUCAUAAGUCAUAACUAAAUAGAUUUUAAUCCAAACCAGUUAAUAUUUCCUCGGUACCUCUCCAGUACCAUAAAUUUUUUAUAUUGAAGAACUCUAUAGCAUGUCUGAACUCAGCUUGAAGGAUGGGACUAGUCUGACGAAUGGCGUGCCUAAUUUUUAGUUGCCCCCAAAAUUGAUAACUCUCAACUGGACUGAUUCCUGAAAAGUUAUUUUGCAGUUUAACAUCCAUUAUGGGCUCUUAAAUGUGUAUCUAAUGUUUAGAAGGUUCCAAAAUUCACACUUCUAUCUAUCAUGUCUCGAGCUUUAGAUUGGGAGAAAUUUUACAAGGAUUGAAAGACAUCGGGAUGUAUCGAUUUUCUUAGAUCUCGUAGUAUCCAAGGUAUUGAAAGUUACAAAAUUUUAAACUGAAAAAUAUAAUACUAUCUCUUCAAGACUAUGAAACUACUGUUAGUUUGAGAUAUUUUUUACAAUCCUCUAGGAGGCACCAGAAGGUACCAAAUUUUCAAUAUAAAUUCUUGUACCUCUCAUUACUUGAUA